rnacentral:rRNA from 1 species
GACGAACGCUGGCGGCGUGCUUAACACAUGCAAGUCGAACGAAGUGGCGAACGGGUGAGUAACGCGUAAUCAACCUGCCCUUCAGAGGGGGACAACAGUUGGAAACGACUGCUAAUACCGCAUACUGAAGGAGGGGAUUGCGUCUGAUUAGCUAGUUGGAGGGGUAACGGCCCACCAAGGCGAUGAUCAGUAGCCGGGCUGGAGGGAUGAACGGCCAAAUUGGGACUGGGAAACGGCCCAGAAUCCUACGGGAGGCAGCAGUGGGGAAGCUUCCGCAAUGGACGGAAGUCUGACGGAGCAACGCCGCGUGAGGGAUGACGGCCUUCGGGUUGUAAAGCUCUGUUAAUCGGGACGCGGUACCGGAAUAGAAAGCCACGGCUAACUACGUGCCAGCAGCCGCGGUAAUUC